AUUGAACGCCGGCGGCAGGCCUAACACAUGCAAGUCGAGCGGAUGACGGGAGCUUGCUCCCUGAUUCAGCGGCGGACGGGUGAGUAAUGCCUAGGAAUCUGCCUGGUAGUGGGGGACAACGUCUCGAAAGGGACGCUAAUACCGCAUACGUCCUACGGGAGAAAGCAGGGGACCUUCGGGCCUUGCGCUAUCAGAUGAGCCUAGGUCGGAUUAGCUAGUUGGUGAGGAAAUGGCUCACCAAGGCGACGAUCCGUAACUGGUCUGAGAGGAUGAUCAGUCACACUGGAACUGGGACACGGUCCAGACUCCUACGGGAGGCAGCAGUGGGGAAUAUUGGACAAUGGGCGAAAGCCUGAUCCAGCCAUGCCGCGUGUGUGAAGAAGGUCUUCGGAUUGUAAAGCACUUUAAGUUGGGAGGAAGGGUUGUAGAUUAAUACUCUGCAAUUUUGACGUUACCGACAGAAUAAGCACCGGCUAACUCUGUGCCAGCCGCCGCCGUAACAC
rnacentral:rRNA from 1 species